AACGAACGCUGGCGGCAUGCCUAACACAUGCAAGUCGAACGAGACCUUCGGGUCUAGUGGCGCACGGGUGCGUAACGCGUGGGAACCUGCCCUUAGGUUCGGAAUAACUCCCCGAAAGGGGUGCUAAUACCGGAUAAUGUCUUCGGACCAAAGAUUUAUCGCCUUUGGAUGGGCCCGCGUUGGAUUAGCUAGUUGGUAGGGUAAAAGCCUACCAAGGCGACGAUCCAUAGCUGGUCUGAGAGGAUGAUCAGCCACACUGGGACUGAGACACGGCCCAGACUCCUACGGGAAGCAGCAGUGGGUGAUAUUGGACAACGGGCGAAAGCCUGAUCCAGCAAUGCCGCGUGAGUGAUGAAGGCCUUAGGGUUGUAAAGCUCUUUUACCCGGGAUGAUAAUGACAGUACCGGGAGAAUAAGCUCCGGCUAACUCCGUG
rnacentral:rRNA from 1 species